rnacentral:rRNA from 1 species
UCCAGCAACAAUCCUGGGGGUAAUAUGGGACAUGCAGCUGUAUUACUGUCAUCUUACAAGCUAAGCAAGUUGAUCCAUGUCUAGUCAGUAUUUGGAUGAGAGACCUCCAAGGAAACCCCAGUUGCUGCAGGAA